AAAACUCAAGUAUCGAUCGCACUUCAAAUCAAUUAAUUAGUUCAAUUUCUAAACACCGCCGUAGCAUUAGCAAGACCAAAAUUUGCGUUUAAUGACUAAAAUAAUUCGUAAAACUCGAUGAUUUGGAAAAUCGUGCGUGUUUCAUCAAAUAAUUUUUAACUGUGCAAUAAAUCACUUAAUUGCACUUCCAAAUAUCAAGAUUACAACAAUAAUAUGAUGUUUAGCCUGAAAACGCGUUCGUUUCGUCGAACACUAGUCUUAAAAGUGCUUUGUAGAGGGCAAACUGUGGGUUUUACUGCAUGUAGGUAGAUAUCAGUGCAUGUACUUUUAACGCCACGUCUUUACACUUUGCUUAUUGCGCUGAGUCUAGCCUCCAUUCCGAAACAUAGAGUGAAAGAGGUACAACAAGUACUUCUAGAAGUUAUCGAAUUCAUGCUGUUAUCGUUGAAUAUGCGUUUAUGAAGCAAAUAUAUUUCGUUAACGUUAAAGCACUUUACGGGAACUUUGGUUAACUGCACUAUUGUAAUGUAAACGAAAGCUGCGAUUGAAUAUGAUAAUUUGUUUUUAAGGUGGUAAUUUAUAUCUCCAUAAAGAAUACCUUGAACUAGGAUUGUUAAUUGUUUACAUGUUCACAGUAAAGUUAUCGUAGUUAGUGUAUGUCAAAAGUCUUGCGAUACAAAGACAAUAAAAUCAGUUAGUCAAUAAAUACGAUUCGGCAGAUGACAU